rnacentral:sRNA from 1 species
AAACUAGGAUCUGCCUUUAACAGCUGUCACCCAGCCACAGGGCUGAUCUGGCUGGCAUGGCUGUUCUCUCCCCCUCACUGCCUCAUGCGCAUCCCUCCCAAAGCUGCACAGUCCGUGCUUCUGGUAGAAAGGACCACAUCUCCUGUCUUCAGUCAAGGGUUGAAGGGUAGAUGAAUAGCUACACUCCCCUACUACAACCACCAAACAAACUUGAAGAAGAGGGAGAAGGAAGAGGAGGAAGAGGAGGAGGAGGAGGAGGAGGAGGAGGAGGAGCAAUCGAAGCCAGACUCAUUCAUCUUCCCUGCCCU